rnacentral:rRNA from 1 species
GUAAACGGUGGGCGCUAGUUGUGCGAACCUUCCACGGUUUGUGCGACGCAGCUAACGCAUUAAGCGCCCCGCCUGGGGAGUACGAUCGCAAGAUUAAAACUCAAAGGAAUUGACGGGGCCCCGCACAAGCAGCGGAGCAUGCGGCUUAAUUCGACGCAACGCGAAGAACCUUACCAAGGCUUGACAUAUACAGGAAUACGGCAGAGAUGUCGUAGCGGUUAAACGUCUGUAUACAGGUGGUGCAUGGUUGUCGUCAGCUCGUGUCGUGAGAUGUUGGGUUAAGUCCCGCAACGAGCGCAACCCUCGUUCUGUGUUGCCAGCAUUUAGUUGGGGACUCACAGGAGACUGCCGGGGUUAACUCGGAGGAAGGUGGGGAUGACGUCAAAUCAUCAUGCCCCUUAUGUCUUGGGCUGCACGCAUGCUACAAUGGCUGGUACAAAGGGCUGCAAUACUGCAAAGUGGAGCGAAUCCCAAAAAGCCAGUCUCAGUUCGGAUUGGGGUCUGCAACUCGACCCCAUGAAGUCGGAGUUGCUAGUAAUCGUAGAUCAGCAACGCUACGGUGAAUACGUUCCCGGGGCUUGUACACACCGCCCGUCACAUCACGAAAGUCGGUAACACCCGAAGUCAGUGCCCAAC